GUGGGGAAUAUUGGGCAAUGGGCGAAAGCCUGACCCAGCAACGCCGCGUGAAGGAAGAAGGUCUUCGGAUCGUAAACUUCUAUCCCCGGUGAAGAUAAUGACGGUAACCGGGAAGGAAGCCCCGGCUAACUACGUGCCAGCAGCCGCGGUAAUACGUAGGGGGCAAGCGUUGUCCGGAAUGAUUGGGCGUAAAGGGCGCGUAGGCGGCUCGGUAAGUCUGGAGUGAAAUUCCUGCUUUCAAGGUGGGAACUGCUUUGGAUACUGUCGGGCUUGGGUGCAGGAGAGGUAAGUGGAAUUCCCGGUGUAGCGGUGAAAUGCGUAGAGAUCGGGAGGAACACCAGUGGCGAAGGCGACACACUGGCUCAUUACUGACGCUGAGGCGCGAAAGCGUGGGGAGCGAACAGGAUUAGAUACCCUUGUAGUCC
rnacentral:rRNA from 1 species